GCCUUUUGGGUUUCAUGUAGAACCCUCUGUAGAAAGGGUUCUACAUGGAACCCAAAACGGUUAUGCCUGGAACCAAAAAGGGUCAUUGAAAGGGUUCUCCUAUGGGGACAGCCGAAGAACCCUUAAAGGUUCUAGAGUUUUCCACAACUACAUGCUUCUUGCAGUUGUCAUCACCAUCUUGUUGAAUGUGUUCCUGUGCGCAGAUCAAGUUGAAUAUACCCAUAGCCUCAUGGUUUUGUUUGUUGACCAAUGCAGCAAACUUUAUGGAAAAGAACAAGUGUCAUAGAACAUGUAUGGAUUGGUGCACCUUCGCCAAAAAUCCAAGAAGUAUGGUGCCCUUGACAAAAUCUCUUGUUUCCCAUUUGAAAACUUCCUUGGGCAAAUGAAGAGACUGCUUCGCAAACCUGCACACCCACUGGAGCAGGUUGUUCGUCGACUGUCAGAGAAGAAACUAUACAGAAGAAUGAACACCUCCUAAGCACUGUCCCUGAGAGAGCACAACAGCAGUGACAAAUCAGUUCGAGAAGUUUUACUUCUGAGAAUUUUCUGUGAAAAGGUCAGAGGGGACAACUGUGUCCUGUUACAAAACCAGGAUAUUGCUGUUGUACAGAAUGUGGUCGUCGAUGAAAUGGGCAACAAUUUUGGCAUCUACAAUAGGUUCAGGAACAUGGUCGAUUUCUUCACCUACCCUUUACCAUUUUCCAAGACAGGCAUUUUUCACCUCUCUGGAUUAUCAGAUCAUUUCUGCCUCACCAACUCUACAAAUGUGCUGAAGAAAUACUAUCUUCUUCCUUGCCAAGAUGGAUAUGCUGGCUUUCCAUUGAGCCACUUGUAGACAUGGCCUAGCCCUGUUUGUUUCUGUUCGCCUCUCACAAGAUCAUAAAGUUUGUAGUGAUUCAGUUUCUGGAUGAAAAGAACAAACCAUAUGCAGUAGUUCCACAAGUAGGGAUCAAAGAUAACAUCUGUUAUUGGCCACCACUCAGCCACAGAAAAAAGAACAAAUUAAACAAUUUAGCCAUCGAGUGUACGCCACCAGACAGCACCUGGGAAAGAAGCUGCUUUAAGUUCAUGAAGGGAGCAGACAAUUGGGAGACGGCACAGAUGUAACAUGAAAACAUUGAGGUGCCAGUGGACGUUAGAGUAGCUGAGUUAAAAGCUUUUCUUCCAGUCGCACCACCAGUCCCAACAUUGCGGUGCCAGCGGACUGGUAUGUACUUUUUUUUUUUAAAUGCUUGAUUAUAUGCGAAGUUCCAUUUCUGAUCCAUAAUCAGCUUUCAUGGUCAAUUUCCAAAUGUACUUUUCUUCUAUAACACAGACUACACUUUAAGGUGCCAAGAUUCCAAAUACAAGAAAAGCAUCAUAUUCCCUAGCAUCGUAUUCACCACAGCAGCAUGUGGAGGACAGCCAUGGAGGACCUAUAAUGAGACAUUUCAACGGGCCAAAUUAUGGUCGUAGAUAUGAAGGUCAGAACAUACCGACUUCAAAUAUGAACAGUCAUGGAGGUACUGUAUGUGGUACAUCCAUUUAGCCCAGGGUAGAAAUCCGGCAGAAAAACAAAUCACUGAAGGAAGACAGGGCAGAAAUGCAAAGACUCCAGCAGGAAAACAGAACCCUGAGGGAAGAAGUUAAGGUGCUAAGGAGUGGGCAAGCAGAUGUCCACUAUCAUCCCCGUGCCCAAGAAAGGGAAAGUAACUGAACUGAAUGACUACAGACUUCCGUCAUCAUGAAGUGCUUCGAGAGGCUAGUCAAAAACCAUAUCAGCUCCUCCCUUCCCAACCCUCUCCAACUCACCUACCGCCCUGACAGAUAAACGGACAACUCAAUCGCCAUUGCACUGCACUCCCACACCUGGACAAAAGGAAUGCAUAUGUUCAUUGACUACAGCUCGGCCUUCAAUAGCAUAGUGCCCUAUAAGCUCAUUACAAAGCUCACGGCCCUGGGUCUAAACUCCUCCCUAUGCAACUGGGUCCUGGAUUUCCUUGACGGGGCUCCUCCAAGUGCUGAAGGUAGGCAACAUUACCUCCUUGACACUGAUUCUCAACAUGGGUGCCCCAAAGGGUGCAUCUUCAGUCCCCUCCUGUAUUCCCUGUAUACCCACGACUGCGUUGUCUCACACAGUUCCAACUCCAUCACAAAGUUUGCUGAUGAUACGAUAGUAGUAGGGCGGAUUACCAACAACGAUGAGACCGCUUACAGGGCGGAGGUAGGCACUCUGAUGAUGUGGUGCCAGGUAAACAACCUCUCCCUCAAUGUUAGCAAAACAAAGGAGCUGAUUGUGGACUUCAGGAGGAACCAGGCUGGAUACACCCCCAUCCUCAUCAACGGGUCCACUGUGGAGACGGUCAAUAACUUCAAAUUCCUCAGCGUACACAUCUCAGAAAAGCUGAAAUUGUCUAACUACAUGGACACCAUAGUGAAGAAGGCACGACAGCAACUCUUCAACCUUAGGACGCAGAAGAAAUUUGGCCUGUCCCGAGGGCCCUCACAGUGUUCUACAGGAGCAACACGAGAGCAUACUGUCGGGCUGCAUCACAGCCAGGUACGGCAACUCCAUUGCCGCAGAUCGUAAGGCUCUUCAGAGGGUGAUAAAUGCAGGCGAAUGCACCAUUGGGUGCACACUGCCUGACCUUCAGGACACCUACAACACCAGGUGUCGCAAGAAGGCCAAGAAGUUCAUCAGGGACCCCAGCCACCCAAACCAUGCCCUGAUCUCCCCGCUUCAAUCACUCAGACGAAUGCGGGCUGUACAGGAACUGCAGGCGGGCAGUACAGGAACCCCCAACAGUCUUUACUCUGCCUCCACGACAAUGGACAAUUAUUUAUUCAUCACUGUCACAGUUGUUAUCAUGUAUAUAGUCCUAUUUCUAUUGUUGUUUUUUAUUACCAUUUUCUUGAUUUUAUUUCACUUAGUCCUGCAUGUUGGAGAUCGAAGCCUAAGAUUUUCACUGUACCUGUCACGACUUCUGCCGAAGUCGAUGCCUCUCCUUGUUCGGGCGGUGUUCGGCGGUUGACGUCGCCGGUCUUCUAGCCAUCGCCGAUCCAUUUCCAUUUGUUUUGUCUUGUUUCCCACACACCUGGUUCUCAUUUCCCUCAUUAUGUGUUGUGUAUUUAACCCUCUGUUCCCCCCAUGUCUUUGUGUGGUAUUGUUUAUUGUAAGUGCUUGUGCACAUUUGUUUGACUGGUGCGCGUCGGGUUAUUGUGCCCAUAUUUGUAUUUUAAACUGCUCCGGC
rnacentral:lncRNA from 1 species